GAAAAGUGCAUCGACGUGCUGUGGCUAAUUUGGCGGUGUUAGAUGUUCAGGAUGGUAAAUCUGGUAUUUCCGGAGAACCUACCGGAUGUUACGGGCUGGGGAUUGUUCACACCGCUGGGCAGUCACCGUCGAACAAAAAGGAUGUCGGCGAAAUCACCGAACCCCUUUUCAAGUGAUGUACUUCGCAAAGGUGGAAAGUUGUCAGUGCUGUAAAAAAGGAGAAAACAACAACUAGAAGAAAAACGUCAACAACAUUAAAAUUGCAUAUCAUCUUAUAGUGAGUUUAUUUCGGAUUGCUCAUAUAGUUUAAUAAAAAAAUUUAUUAAUUGGUUGAAUAGUUGGUAGAUGACUGAAUAGUGUUGAUAAUACAAAGGUCGGUGAAACCGUUAGCGUGAAGUAAAAUCUUUGCUAAAAACGUCGUCGAAGGCCAUAUUCAACAAAGCGAAUAGCUGAAUUGUACAAACAAAGUUUGUAGAAGGAAACGAGAUCUAGGAAGGAUUCGAUAUUGUAAAAAAAGGAAAGAGGAUACUAUUUGAUUUUUGAGCUGCUACUAAAAGUUGCUGCAAAAGAUAGUUUCUGGUUCAUCCGAACAAUUAAUGAAUUGAUAUCAUUAAGAUAAUUAAAAUAAAAUACAUAAUUAAUUGCACAGUUAGUGCCACGCCAGAUUAAAAAUGUACUUUAAUAAAAAUACCGAUAAAACUGAUAUCACUGUAAAUGGAAAUUUAGCCUUACCAUGGUGACCGUUAAUUUUCCAAUAAACAACUAUACUUCGUUGAUAUGGAAACUGAUUUAUUUUGAAUUCGUUGGGAAAAGG